rnacentral:rRNA from 1 species
AUUGAACGCUGGCGGCAGGCCUAACACAUGCAAGUCGAGCGGUAGAGAGGAGCUUGCUUCUCUUGAGAGCGGCGGACGGGUGAGUAAUGCCUAGGAAUCUGCCUGGUAGUGGGGGAUAACGUUCGGAAACGGACGCUAAUACCGCAUACGUCCUACGGGAGAAAGUGGGGAUCUUCGGACCUCACGCCAUCAGAUGAGCCUAGGUCGGAUUAGCUAGUUGGUGAGGUAAAGGCUCACCAAGGCGACGAUCCGUAACUGGUCUGAGAGGAUGAUCAGUCACACUGGAACUGAGACACGGUCCAGACUCCUACGGGAGGCAGCAGUGGGGAAUAUUGGACAAUGGGCGCAAGCCUGAUCCAGCCAUGCCGCGUGUGUGAAGAAGGUCUUCGGAUUGUAAAGCACUUUAAGUUGGGAGGAAGGUCAGUAGCUUAAUACGUUGCUGAUUUGACGUUACCGACAGAAUAAGCACCGGCUAACUCUGUGCCAGCCGCCGCGGUAAAAC